UACGUAGGGUGCAAGCGUUGUCCGGAAUUAUUGGGCGUAAAGAGCUCGUAGGCGGUCUGUCGCGUCUGCUGUGAAAACCUAGGGCUUAACUCUGGGCGUGCAGUGGGUACGGGCAGGCUAGAGUGCGGUAGGGGAGACUGGAAUUCCUGGUGUAGCGGUGAAAUGCGCAGAUAUCAGGAGGAACACCGGUGGCGAAGGCGGGUCUCUGGGCCGUAACUGACGCUGAGGAGCGAAAGCAU
rnacentral:rRNA from 1 species